rnacentral:lncRNA from 1 species
UUCGGCCAAGGCUGAAAUGCUUGCCUAGUUCAUGUUGGAGUUAGCCAACCUGGCUUCGAAGCCAUUUCAAUUCCUUCCUCUGUUUGCUCAGAUCUGUCACUAGGUGGUAGAUCGAUGCUUCAAUUAUGUCGAGGUCGGUUACAACAGAGUUGCGACUAUUUACAAGUCUUCAUCACUCCGGCAAAGUAAUAGUACUCCCUUGCUCAAGAUCUUGCUCACUCUAGCAGCAACACUUCUCUACUCUCUCUUGGCUUAUAACUGCAACAACACAUGAACUACAGAGAAAAACACAAGAAAGGGAGACAAAGUAGAUUUGUAGUGUGUCUACAAUUUGUUGCUACACUUGGGAGCCUUGGACUACUGAAAGAGGACGCCUAAGGGGUCCUUUUAUAGCCUCAAGGAGCAUAGGAGCCGUUGCCUUGUCCAAAUGGAACCUAGAAAACUUCCCUUUCUGUGGGCUCACCAGACCAUUUGGUGAGCCAUCGAACCAUCCACAGUAACGGUUAGUAGAUCUCCUGAUUAGCGCCUUUCCUUAGUUGGGUGGCACCAGACCGUCCGGUGACGUCAGCUAGCCAUUGGGUGCCGAACGAAGGCUAGAAGUAGCCGUUGGAGAAGUGGUCAGUGCAUAUCGGACCAUCCCGUGAAUUUUAUAAAUAAAAUUCUUGAGACCGAGCAGUACAGUUGGGUUGCACGGACCCCGUCAGGUGCAGCCCAGACCAGAGCAAGCUAAGCUCUUUUGAGACAAACUUCUCCAAACGAUCUCAACUCUUUGGAGGACUUUCCUAAGACUUAGACACACAUUUAGAGUAUAAACCAAUUGACUAGGUCCUAGAAAGUUACCUCUUUCCCAUUCUUCUCAUAACUUUUCUGUUUCUCCUCAAACAGAUCCUAGAAUGACACUUUCUCUACAAAUUGAGUUAGAGAACAAACCAAAGUACCAAACAUGUAGUAAAAGGUGUAUGCAACAUAGUUGAAUGUUCAAACCUUGCAUACUUAACAUUUUUCACCGUUAUACCCAUUUUGUUCUGUUUGAGGUCGACGUUGGACUCCAAACCAUCAGGUCGACUUGAUUUGAUCUAGAUUGUCAUCUAUGAGCUCCAACACCCUACAAAGGUCACAUAAAACACAUUCAAACAUAGAAACAACCCAAACUAAAGGUUAAGGUAAACUUAGCUCUUUUGGGUUGCUUCUAGGUUCUGGCUUUGACACUACUCCUGCCUCUAGUGACCUUGUUCACUUCUUGAGCUUGAUCUUGAGCCUUAAGACUUACACCACAUAACCAUAGGUAUUACCUCAUUGGCUGUAAGUCAUGUCCUUAAGUCAUGAUCCUCGAUGCACCAUAUCUCUUCACAACUCGAUCAACCUUGACUUUGCAAGUCUUCUUCUUCACCCCUGGCUUUGGGUACCUCAGCCUUCUUGACCUUCUGUCAUGCACUCGGUACCUCGAAGUUCUUUCUGCCUCCAUCCUUGGCUUGACCAGUUGUCUCCAAGUUAUGCACACCGAGUUUCACAUAAGAAAUGCACAUCCUUCACUUAGAUUGUGAUAUUCACUACCAUAGUCAUCUCGGCCUUUGAACCAUCACACUUGAUCACUUGUGUUGAACCUUGUAAGUUUUGUACUAAGCACCUAUUCAACACUUAGCAACACAUAUCGAUCCUUUAAUUAGGUUGUCAUCCAAACCACCAAAUCCCACAAGGGAGCUUUCAAUCUUGCCCUUUUUGGUGAUUGAUGGCAACACGAUCGAAGCUUACACAAGAUAUGAAAUUAAAGCACAAUUUUGAAUUAUAAGCUAUAGAAUGCCCCCUAAAUAUGUGCUUACAUGGAAAUCUCUACUUUGGCCUCAUAUGCCAAUUACACAUACUUAGGCUAAGUGUGAAGCAUUACUACAUCUUAGCAUUCGUUGGGGUGCAUUGUGUUAGGAAUCAAAUCUUGAUGCGUACGACACACAAAUGCACAUAAUCAGAGUUAAGCACCAUAUAAACACCAAUUUAAAAGAUGUAAUACUAGGAUAUCAACCCAUCACAAUACACCAUAAAAAUACCAAUUAAAACACCAUAUCAAUACAUGAUUAUCUAUUAACAGGAUAAGCAAAUAGCACCAUAAAUUCCAAUUGAUCUACAACACAAAAGCAACUAAAGACGAUGCUACACCAAGAUCAUAUCAACUGUAAGAUUAAGCAUCGAUUAGCAACAAAAACAACAAUAUUGCAUUAUCACCAUAUAAUCAACAGUAAGAGCAUGAUAAGCAUUAUUUACACCUAAUACAUUCUCCCCCUUAAGAUCAAAAGGAAAUCUUGGAAACCCCACCUUAACCAAGGUGAGCUCAUACUCAAUACAAGGUUAAGAUUUGAUCCCUUUAGCACACGAACACCUUCACCCUUAAGAUACACUUCCCUCUCAGGUCGAGAUAAACUUUAAUGCACAAAUUCUCCCCCUUUGACAUCAAACACCAAAACCAUAUAACAAACAAGAACAUAGCUUGAUGUGAAGGGACAUUAGGGUACGAAGCAGGGAAAUGCAUCACACUUACAUUACUCACACUUAAAACUUAAAAAUAUGCAACACAAGCAUCAGAGGGAAUCAAGGUACAAAUACUCAACAUAAAAGUGAUAAUACCUUCUUUUGUACCUUUGUUACAUUUACAAAGUCAUGGUACCCUUUCCAUCCAAAUCAGUGGUUCCCUUUGCCAUAAGAGUUUCCCAUUUGAAGAUUCCAUCCCCAGGGAGCUUCCCCACACUUGUGUCUGAUCCUUUACCCUGAUCUUUCCUUGUUGCUAAGACACUAGACUUAGAACAAGUUAUAGCAUUGUGUCACGUGAUAAACUCCUACUCGAGAGAACACCAAAGGGUACCAAAUGAAAGAUUACUACACAUGUAAACCACUAAUAGGCACCUCACAACUCCAUGAUAUUAAACGAGAAGCAUAUAGGAUCACCAACUAGCAUGGACAAACAACAAUAACUAAUGAGCAAGACCAUUCCUUAAAUAACUCACAACUUUAGAUACCAAUUUACACGAAUUCGUAGAGGUACCCAAGUCCGAAUUGCUCCACAACUUGCUCAACUUCCUUCUUCCACCUUGAGAUUAUAUAAUAUCACUCAAGAAACAGAUAAUCUCAAAGGACACAAGUUAUGUGUGCUCCCCUUAAAGAUUUGCAUCAAGUUUUUGAGUAACUUGUACCUUGCACAUUCUAGCAUUUUGCAUAACUAGAGGGGUGCACCACAUACCUUGGUCUAGACAUAACAAAAUAUCAAUUUUCAUCACGCAUGAAUAUCAAUUGAAUAAAUGAUAGAAUUCAACCAAUAUCUAGUAGAAUCAUAGCAGAGCAUGCCACAAUACAUUAAUAUCCUACUAGGCAAGCUACACACCAGAUGAUCAUUACAACUCAUAUAUCAAUUGAAACUAUAGAUCACCAAAAGCAUCAUGCAAACUUAAUUCUAUGCGUGUCAUCAUCGAAGGGAAAAGAUCACUUAAGCAGCCUAAUUGAAAGAAUCAUCACAUUCCUAAGCAAUCUUAUUGCAAAUUGAUAAGCAUUACCAUCAUGAGCACAAUUUAUGGAAUUACAACAUACCAAGUGAUUUGCAUAGUUCCAUAUUUCAUGCCUUUGUCCUUUUAUCUGAAUAUUAAAAAUCCACUCUUAAGGCAAUAUGAAUUGAGAGCACCUUGAUACCAUGUAACACCCCGGGAUCCACAAACACCCCAGAAUGCUACUAAACUACACAUCUAAUAUUCAUAUAUAAAAUUUCGACAGCAUCUCCUUUGAAAAUUGCAUAAAUGGGGGAAGCAACAAAGUAUAAAUAGAUAUCAUGAUAAGAAAACAUAUAAGACAUUAAUAAUCUGCUAGCAAUGGGAAGACAACCAUAACAACAUGAACUGAAUUAAUCAGUGCACACGACUAGUUAAAAACAAACAUCCUUUGACAAGAAGUUUCUAAUUAAAUCAUGGCUGCGUCUGGGCAGCAUUAUUAUGAGAAUGAAGGUGGAUGUGCUGCUACUUCCCACUCCCCUUGAUGAGCAACAAGCAUCUGCAUUGAGUAAUGCAAGAGUGAGAUGAAACAUCUCAGCAAGCUAAUUGUUCUGACGAGAUAUUUAAACCACAAAUUGAAUUCAUCAACAUUUUAAAAGAGUCACAAUUAAAAAUCAGAAAUGCUUGUAGAUAUAGAACUCAGUAGUCCCACUAUAACCAAUACCAUCUCAUUUCCUCGAACAACCACAAUAGGUUCUAUAACACUUCCCUGCGUCAACAAUACCUGCAAAUAUCACUUCAAUGUAUGCAUAGGAAUGCAAUGUGUAGGUACUCUAUCUUCAUACCUCUGGGGGUAUAAAACCACAUCAUCUGCAAAUAUCACUUCAAUGAAUGCAUAUGAAUGCAAUGCAUAUGUCCUCUGCCUUCAUACCUCUAAGGGUAUGAAGCCGCAUCGUACCCCUUCUCGGGCAACGUACGAUGCUAAGUUGUACCGGUACGGUCGAACCAUAGGUCACGACAAAACUUCAUAUGCAAAUGAGUCAUGCAAUGUAUAUGGCAUGCUACAUUUAUCAAUAAACUUCACUUCCUUCAGAUACAACACAAACCUCAAAUAAUACUUCAUUUACCUUCAGAUACAAUACCAACCUCAAAUAAUACUUCAUUUACCUUCAGGGGUGUGAAUUAAUCUCAUGAGUCAUACUCAAAUCAUAAUCAUCAUCAAUAUAUGAUUGAGCAUCAGUAUAAUGCAAGCAAGUAAAGCAUCACCAUAGAGUCCAAUUAUGAAAGAAUCUGAUACUUCUGAAUAUUAGAGUGUAGGCGAUAGAAAUAACAGGUCAGAACGGAAGCAACCACCGCUACAUUCACUUGCCUUCAUCGAAGAAGAAGAAAUGUACUAGACAUGAUCUGGAGUGUAGCCACCUGCUAGUGGGCAUAAAACUUAGUACAAAUAUUUCACAAACAUUUGCCAUCAAUCAACAAAACACUCCUACACUUGAAACCAAGACCCAGUGGAAAGACUCCCACCCUGAACCACAUGCCAUACAGCAGCAACGCUGUUUGUUAAUUUUGUAUCUUCAAAAUUAAAACAGCGGUGAUAUCAAACAAAUACUCCAGGAGUAUCUACACAAAAUACUCUACAACUUCAGUAUUCAAUAGAUAAUUAAAUUCUGCCAUCUACAAGUUCUAAAACAUCUGACAAGAUAACUGACUGAAUCUGUUUUAGACAGCAGUAUGGUUAACUUUAAAAUUCGAUAUCUCCAAAACUGCUGAACCAAAAAUUAUGAAAUUCUGCUGGAAGUAAGAACUUUUAUCCCUCUACAAAAGUCUCCAUAGUUGGAAGAGCCAAUUCGGCCAUUUACUAGAUGAAACCCACCAGUGAACAGACCCACUCAUUUUUGUCAGGUAAACAGGAACAGCCACAGUAAAACAAACAUAACUGGAGUUUCACAAAUCAUAUGAAUGCACUCUUUAACAAUCUGGAAAGCUUAUAAAAUUAUCUACAACUUCUUUUACCAACCCACAGUUUAAUUCUGUUGAUAAAAUUGCCUAAAUCUUAAGAGAACAGAUUCUGCACAGAAUUAUGAGACUGAAAAACUGCUAUAGUAAAACUGCAAUAACUUUCUGGUCGGAUGUCCGAUUGAGGUGUUCUUCGCGGCCACGGAAAGAUCUACAAAUUAUCUACGACUCAUACAUAGACUUUUUAUUUUUUUGAGGCCACUAAGACCACGGAAAACUGGCAUGAACAGAAACUGUCGAAUCUGCCAUUCUGCAGAAAACUAAAUUCGAGAUCAAAACCUAACCCCACAUCAAAUCCAACCUCUAAUCCUUUAAUUCCCAUGAUCCACAACCUCCAAAAGCCUAUAAUUACAGGGAGGAACAAGGAUCUCAUCCAUACCUAGGGUUUCCCCAAGAAAUCUUCAAGAGGAGAUGGGGAAGAACAUCUCCUUGAUCCUCUCUUCCUCUUCAAUUCAACGUGCCCCUCCUUUUCUCGAUCCUUGCUGCGUAGGGGGAGAUCUUGGGGGAGGAAGCAAUGGAGGAUGGCUGCCAUAGGGGGAGGGGGCGUCCAGCCAAGGGGGAGAAAAAGGGGGUGGCGGCCAAGAGGGGGGGGGGGUGAAGGGAAAAAAGGGGUGGCCACCUAGGGUUUUUGUGGGAGAAAGAAACGACGCCUCAGAUGACUUCUAUCUUUGCAUCCAAUGGCCCACAACCCUUUACCUCAUCCACGCACCAGAGAUUAACUUUUGGUCAACAUUUUUUUUGGGAUAUUACACUCUACCCCCCUUAAAAAGAAUUCAACCUCGAAUUCGGCCACUCCAAGCAAAACACCCAAGGUACCCCAUAUAGCACCACAAUUCAAAACAUGGGUCCAUUAUUGGUCUUAAUUAACACAAGAACUUCUACCUUGGACUAAUUGUCUAAGGAAACUACACGACCUGACAUCAAGCAUGAAACAUGUAAUGAAGCUCAAAGCAUGUCAUAGUUGCAAUCAACACUCCAAUUUCACACCAUCAAAUUUGGAUGCAGCUAUACAUCAACAUCAAUGUCUUAAGACAACACUCUUUUAUGAAGGGGUAAUAUGCACCAAGCACAACCCUUACCAACUUCAACCAUUAAUUUUAAUUAAAUGGUGAAACAUCUACACCCGACGAAUGUAUAAGAAGAUCAAACACCUCACCUUAAAGCACUAUGAAACAAGUAGUUCUAUUGGAACAAAACUCCUAAUCUUCCUAAACCUUAUUCUUGCCAUCAUGAAAAGAUAAUCAUGUAAUCUAACAUUCCUUGCACCCCACCAAAAGGGAGAAAAUCUAUAGAACUAAUGGAGCAAUAAAGCCAAAAGAAGCCAAUAACAUCUUGUGCGGCAUAGUUCAUCGAAGAAAUGCCAAAAACUCUACAUAGAGCACUGAUAGCCCAACAACAACACAAUACUUGCUUAACCCAUGUCACUAUACUUCAUUCAACAUCUCAACUAAGAAAAAUAUCCAACUAGUAAGGAUAACCUACACAUAAUAUAAGUCUUCAUCUACUGUAGUUCAGAAACUUACAUUUCAUUCUAUCAUACGAUGCACUCAAAGUACCAGACAUACAAAGUCAAUAAUAAUAACCCCUAAUCCUUCACACAUUUGACAAACAUAUUAAGCUGAUGUAAACACCACAUGAUCUAGGAAUAGGUGACUAGCCACACCCAACCAACUCUAGGCUAGGCAAGGACUUCCUUCAAACCAAUAGAUAGGUGGUCUAAAAAAAAUGGCUCCACAAGCAUGCAUCGAAAAGGGAACCAUCAGAUCCUCAAUGUAUCAAUACAUAAUCAAUGGAUCAAGAGAAUCAAAGAUUUAUUCUACAAUUAGUAUGACUAACAGGCAACCACUUUAAACCACAUCUAGGCUUUGUGGCAACUAAAACACACAAUAUGAGAGAGACAUGUAAGCCAUUCUGGCUAUGAAAAGACUUCCCCCAAAAAUCCAUAUAAAGUACCAAUAUUCAUUUCUUUCAAAACUGGUUUCUCAACAUAAACAAUCAUUCUUUGCAAUGAUAGUUGGAGCUAUCCACCAACCGCUCAACAACUUAAAUUCAAAUUGAUGAUUACCUUGUACCCCAAAACACGCAAUUCACACUCCUCUUAGAAACAUCCACAAUCAAGCAUAUAUAACAAUAUUAUUGUAAUAAAACUCAACCAUGAAAAACAUGGUGAAAACAACAUAGGCAUACUUGUAUAUCACAAGCAUAAUAACAACUUCAUUCUCACCAAUGACCAGCGAUAUCUACCGCAUUAAUAAAACAAUAUCAAAAUUUCAGAAAUAAAUUAUAUCAAGCAUUAAGCCAUAAACAACUUACCACAUCACCGUAAAGGAAUAGGGAGGGGUGAAACUAUUGUCAUCUGCACUCCAAAGACAUUAAUAUAUAUCAAAGAUAUUUGAACCCAUACCCUUCCUAUAUGUGCAAGUGUGUCAAAUUUAUCUUCAAAUUGCCAAGAAUCUAAAGCCUAUGCUUUGAUACCAACUGUAACACCCCGGGAUCCACAAACACCCCAGAAUGCUACUAAACUACACAUCUAAUAUUCAUAUAUAAAAUUUCGACAGCAUCUCCUUUGAAAAUUGCAUAAAUGGGGGAAGCAACAAAGUAUAAAUAGAUAUCAUGAUAAGAAAACAUAUAAGACAUUAAUAAUCUGCUAGCAAUGGGAAGACAACCAUAACAACAUGAACUGAAUUAAUCAGUGCGCACGACUAGUUAAAAACAAACAUCCUUUGACAAGAAGUUUCUAAUUAAAUCAUGGCUGCGUCUAGGCAGCAUUAUUAUGAGAAUGAAGGUGGAUGUGCUGCUACUUCCCACUCCCCUUGAUGAGCAACAAGCAUCUGCAUUGAGUAAUGCAAGAGUGAGAUGAAACAUCUCAGCAAGCUAAUUGUUCUGACGAGAUAUUUAAACCACAAAUUGAAUUCAUCAACAUUUUAAAAGAGUCACAAUUAAAAAUCAGAAAUGCUUGUAGAUAUAGAACUCAGUAGUCCCACUAUAACCAAUACCAUCUCAUUUCCUCGAACAACCACAAUAGGUUCUAUAACACUUCCCUGCGUCAACAAUACCUGCAAAUAUCACUUCAAUGUAUGCAUAGGAAUGCAAUGUGUAGGUACUCUAUCUUCAUACCUCUGGGGGUAUAAAACCACAUCAUCUGCAAAUAUCACUUCAAUGAAUGCAUAUGAAUGCAAUGCAUAUGUCCUCUGCCUUCAUACCUCUAAGGGUAUGAAGCCGCAUCGUACCCCUUCUCGGGCAACGUACGAUGCUAAGUUGUACCGGUACGGUCGGACCAUAGGUCACGACAAAACUUCAUAUGCAAAUGAGUCAUGCAAUGUAUAUGGCAUGCUACAUUUAUCAAUAAACUUCACUUCCUUCAGAUACAACACAAACCUCAAAUAAUACUUCAUUUACCUUCAGAUACAAUACCAACCUCAAAUAAUACUUCAUUUACCUUCAGGGGUGUGAAUUAAUCUCAUGAGUCAUACUCAAAUCAUAAUCAUCAUCAAUAUAUGAUUGAGCAUCAGUAUAAUGCAAGCAAGUAAAGCAUCACCAUAGAGUCCAAUUAUGAAAGAAUCUGAUACUUCUGAAUAUUAGAGUGUAGGCGAUAGAAAUAACAGGUCAGAACGGAAGCAACCACCGCUACAUUCACUUGCCUUCAUCGAAGAAGAAGAAAUGUACUAGACAUGAUCUGGAGUGUAGCCACCUGCUAGUGGGCAUAAAACUUAGUACAAAUAUUUCACAAACAUUUGCCAUCAAUCAACAAAACACUCCUACACUUGAAACCAAGACCCAGUGGAAAGACUCCCACCCUGAACCACAUGCCAUACAGCAGCAACGCUGUUUGUUAAUUUUGUAUCUUCAAAAUUAAAACAGCGGUGAUAUCAAACAAAUACUCCAGGAGUAUCUACACAAAAUACUCUACAACUUCAGUAUUCAAUAGAUAAUUAAAUUCUGCCAUCUACAAGUUCUAAAACAUCUGACAAGAUAACUGACUGAAUCUGUUUUAGACAGCAGUAUGGUUAACUUUAAAAUUCGAUAUCUCCAAAACUGCUGAACCAAAAAUUAUGAAAUUCUGCUGGAAGUAAGAACUUUUAUCCCUCUACAAAAGUCUCCAUAGUUGGAAGAGCCAAUUCGGCCAUUUACUAGAUGAAACCCACCAGUGAACAGACCCACUCAUUUUUGUCAGGUAAACAGGAACAGCCACAGUAAAACAAACAUAACUGGAGUUUCACAAAUCAUAUGAAUGCACUCUUUAACAAUCUGGAAAGCUUAUAAAAUUAUCUACAACUUCUUUUACCAACCCACAGUUUAAUUCUGUUGAUAAAAUUGCCUAAAUCUUAAGAGAACAGAUUCUGCACAGAAUUAUGAGACUGAAAAACUGCUAUAGUAAAACUGCAAUAACUUUCUGGUAGGAUGUCCGAUUGAGGUGUUCUUCGCGGCCACGGAAAGAUCUACAAAUUAUCUACGACUCAUACAUAGACUUUUUAUUUUUUUGAGGCCACUAAGACUACGGAAAACUGGCAUGAACAGAAACUGUCGAAUCUGCCAUUCUGCAGAAAACUAAAUUCGAGAUCAAAACCUAACCCCACAUCAAAUCCAACCUCUAAUCCUUUAAUUCCCAUGAUCCACAACCUCCAAAAGCCUAUAAUUACAGGGAGGAACAAGGAUCUCAUCCAUACCUAGGGUUUCCCCAAGAAAUCUUCAAGAGAAGAUGGAGAAGAACAUCUCCUUGAUCCUCUCUUCCUCUUCAAUUCAACGUGCCCCUCCUUUUCUCGAUCCUUGCUGCGUAGGGGGAGAUCUUGGGGGAGGAAGCAAUGGAGGAUGGCUGCCAUAGGGGGAGGGGGCGUCCAGCCAAGGG